rnacentral:rRNA from 1 species
UACGGAGGGUGCAAGCGUUAUCCGGAUUCACUGGGUUUAAAGGGUGCGUAGGUGGCAAGUAAGUCAGUGGUGAAAUCUCCGGGCUUAACCCGGAAACUGCCAUUGAUACUAUUUGUCUUGAAUACUGUGGAGGUCAGCGGAAUAUGUCAUGUAGCGGUGAAAUGCUUAGAUAUGACAUAGAACACCAAUUGCGAAGGCAGCUGGCUACACAUAUAUUGACACUGAGGCACGAAAGCGUGGGGAAUCAAACAGGAGUUA